rnacentral:lncRNA from 1 species
UUCAGAGAAAGAAGAAAUCUGUGUUGGUAGAGUGACAGGCAAGCAUAAACACCAUCAUUAGAAAGGCAAAGGAGAAAAGAGGGCAUCCACUGGGUGGAAUAAGACCAGAUCCUGUUUUGGUCAGCAGAAUUCUGACCAGAAAACAAGUGCUGCUGGUCUCCUACCUCCAUUUGAUAAGCUGGAGUGCAAUGGCAUAGUCAUGUCUCACUGCAACCUUGCUCUCCCAGGUUCAAGAGAUUCUUCCACCUCAGCCUCCCAAGUAGCUGGGACUACAGGUAGACAUUGUUGAAGGAUACCUCAAAGUACCCAGAAGGACAGGAGGAAUUGCAGAACCUCAGGCUGGAGGGUAUCCCUCAAAACGAGCAAGACACAGGUCCAAGAGAGAAGGGGGUUACUAAUCAAGGCUGAUGGGAAGAUCUCAGGGGAAUUGUGCUCAACCAGAAGACGGAGAGGCAGAGAGAGCUCUGCGACUGGAUGCAAGCCAAGAUCCUAGAUGACUCAAUUUUUCACUCUAUCAGAUGAAGACAAUACUUGCCAUCUCCCAAAUAAAGGUUAUGAGGAUUAAUCUGUCCAUAAUGCAUUUGGAGAUCCUUGCAAUAAAGAUUAAAACCAUGUAUAAAAUUUACUAUAUUUUAUAGGUGUGAGUUUUCAAGAUCAGUUAUCUUGAAACUGUUUAUUCCCUAAGAAUUGGGCCUGCAGUUUAAUAUCCUAUGACAUGAAAUACAUGGUUCAAUCUUAGUUAGGGAUCCACAGUCUUCAAUAACUAGGCUUCUG